GCUGUCGUCAGCUCGUGUUGUGAAAUGUUGGGUUAAGUCCCGCAACGAGCGCAACCCUUAUCCUUUGUUGCCAGCGGUUAGGCCGGGAACUCAAAGGAGACUGCCAGUGAUAAACUGGAGGAAGGUGGGGAUGACGUCAAGUCAUCAUGGCCCUUACGAGUAGGGCUACACACGUGCUACAAUGGCGCAUACAAAGAGAAGCGACCUCGCGAGAGCAAGCGGACCUCAUAAAGUGCGUCGUAGUCCGGAUUGGAGUCUGCAACUCGACUCCAUGAAGUCGGAAUCGCUAGUAAUCGUGUC
rnacentral:rRNA from 1 species